UGCAGUCGAGGGGCAGCAUCAUCAAAGCUUGCUUUGAUGGAUGGCGACCGGCGCACGGGUGAGUAACACGUAUCCAACCUGCCGACAACACUGGGAUAGCCUUUCGAAAGAAAGAUUAAUACCGGAUGGCAUAAUUAUUCCGCAUGGGAUAAUUAUUAAAGAAUUUCGGUUGUCGAUGGGGAUGCGUUCCAUUAGGCAGUUGGCGGGGUAACGGCCCACCAAACCUACGAUGGAUAGGGGUUCUGAGAGGAAGGUCCCCCACAUUGGAACUGAGACACGGUCCAAACUCCUACGGGAGGCAGCAGUGAGGAAUAUUGGUCAAUGGACGAGAGUCUGAACCAGCCAAGUAGCGUGAAGGAUGACUGCCCUAUGGGUUGUAAACUUCUUUUAUACGGGAAUAAAGUGAGCCACGUGUGGCUUUUUGUAUGUACCGUAUGAAUAAGGAUCGGCUAACUCCGUGCCAGCAGCCGCGGUAAUACGGAGGAUCCGAGCGUUAUCCGGAUUUAUUGGGUUUAAAGGGAGCGUAGGCGGGUUGUUAAGUCAGUUGUGAAAGUUUGCGGCUCAACCGUAAAAUUGCAGUUGAUACUGGCGACCUUGAGUGCAACAGAGGUAGGCGGAAUUCGUGGUGCAGCGGUGAAAUGCUUAGAUAUCACGAAGAACUCCGAUUGCGAAGGCAGCUUACUGG
rnacentral:rRNA from 1 species